rnacentral:rRNA from 1 species
CAGUAGCCGCGGGAAUACGUAGGUGGCAAGCGUUGUCCGGAAUUAUUGGGCGUAAAGGGCUCGCAGGCGGUUUCUUAAGUCUGAUGUGAAAGCCCCCGGCUCAACCGGGGAGGGUCAUUGGAAACUGGGAAACUUGAGUGCAGAAGAGGAGAGUGGAAUUCCACGUGUAGCGGUGAAAUGCGUAGAGAUGUGGAGGAACACCAGUGGCGAAGGCGACUCUCUGGUCUGUAACUGACGCUGAGGAGCGAAAGCGUGGGGGGCGAACAGGAUUAGAGACCCCUGUAGUCCCUGUCUCUUAUAC